UGGGGAAUCUUGCGCAAUGGGCGAAAGCCUGACGCAGCGACGCCGCGUGCGGGAAGAAGGCCUUCGGGUUGUAAACCGCUUUCAGGAGGGACGAGGCCACUCGGGUUAAUAGCCUAGAGGGUGACGGUACCUCCAGAAGAAGCCCCGGCUAACUACGUGCCAGCAGCCGCGGUAAUACGUAGGGGGCUAGCGUUGUCCGGAUUUAUUGGGCGUAAAGAGCGCGUAGGCGGCCGAGUAAGUCCGACGUGAAAUCUGGAGGCUCAACCUCCAGCGGUCGUUGGAAACUACUCGGCUAGAGUCCGGAAGAGGAGAGUGGAAUUCCUGGUGUAGCGGUGAAAUGCGCAGAUAUCAGGAAGAACACCGAUGGCGAAAAGCAGCUCUCUGGGACGGUACUGACGCUGAGGCGCGAAAGCGUGGGGAGCGAACAGGAUUAGAUACCCUGGUAGUCCACGCCGUAAACGAUGGGUGCUAGGUGUGGGCGGUGUCGACUCCG
rnacentral:rRNA from 1 species